CAGCGCCACGAGUGGGAACCAUGUUUAUUUGGCCUAAAGCGUCCGUAGCUGGUUUGGUAAAUCCUUUGUGAAAUCAUUCGGCUUAACCGAAUGGCGUGCAGAGGAGACUACCAGACUCGAGACCGGGAGGAGUCAGGGGUAUUCUGUGGUGAGCGGUAAAAUGCAAUAAUCCUCAGAGGACCACCUGUGGCGAAGGCGCCUGACUAGAACGGUUCUGACAGUGAGGGACGAAAGCUAGGGGAGCGAUCCGGAUUAGAUACCCGAGUAGUCC
rnacentral:rRNA from 1 species